CCUACGGGAGGCAGCAGUGGGGAAUAUUGCACAAUGGGGGAAACCCUGAUGCAGCGACGCCGCGUGAGUGAAGAAGUAUUUCGGUAUGUAAAGCUCUAUCAGCAGGGAAGAAAAUGACGGUACCUGAUUAAGAAGCCCCGGCUAACUACGUGCCAGCAGCCGCGGUCAUACGUAGGGGGCAAGCGUUAUCCGGAUUUACUGGGUGUAAAGGGAGCGUAGACGGCAGGACAAGUCUGGAGUGAAAUGCCGGGGCUUAACCCCGGAACUGCUUUGGAAACUGUGCAGCUAGAGUGCAGGAGAGGUAAGUGGAAUGCCUAGUGUAGCGGUGAAAUGCGUAGAUAUUAGGAGGAACACCAGUGGCGAAGGCGGCUUACUGGACUGUAACUGACGUUGAGGCUCGAAAGCGUGGGGAGCAAACAGGAUUAGAUACCCCAGUAGUC
rnacentral:rRNA from 1 species